CUACGGGGGGCUCCAGUAGGGAAUAUUGGACAAUGGGCGAAAGCCUGAUCCAGCAACACCGCGUGCACGAUGACGGCCUUCGGGUUGUAAAGUGCUUUUAGAGGAGAUGAGAAAGGACAGUAUCCUCUGAAUAAGCCUCGGCGAACUACGUGCCAGCAGCCGCGGUAAAACGUAGGAGGCAAGCGUUAUCCGGAUUUAUUGGGCGUAAAGCGCGUGCAGGCGGUCUAGCAAGUUGGAUGUGAAAGCUCCCGGCUCAACUGGGAGAGGUCGUUCAAUACUGUUAGACUAGAGAAUAGGAGAGGGAGGUGGAAUUCCGGGUGUAGUGGUGAAAUACGUAGAUAUCCGGAGGAACACCAGUGGCGAAAGCGGCCUCCUGGACUAUUUCUGACGCUAAGACGCGAAAGCUAGGGUAGCAAACGGGAUUAGAUACCCUUGUAGUC
rnacentral:rRNA from 1 species